AGAGCGAAGUGUGUGGGCAACGCGGCCGGAUCCUGGAGUUCCCCUCCGUGCUGUGGAAUUGGGUCAGGCGUGUACGGUCCUGACCCUAGGACACAGCUGCAUGUCCUCACCUCGGUGUUCAAAGCUGCACCGGCCACCAUUCAACCCUCCGACGCCCUGCCCUUUGGCUUCCCCGUUCCAUCCGGUCCUGUCUCCUUUCCCUCGUUUCUACCUGGCCGACUCCAUCCUGCUGACUAGAAUUCCCCCUCCUUCACUCCUGGGAGGCAUUCCUCGCCCACCUGCCCCAGUCCUCUUCCUGAUCACCUGCAGCCCUGUCCUCUGAAGCUCCCUAGCGGUCAGGGUAGCAGCUUGGACAUCCCGCCAGACGUGAAUUCAAAUCCCCACUCCGCAAGUCGUGCCCAUUUGCUGAGAAGCCUACAGCCAGAGCGUUUCACAUACAUUAUCUCAUUUGAUCCUAGCAGCAAUUCCCUGUAUGGCGGCUCUUAUUAUCCCCAUUUCACAGAGGAAGAAACUCAGGCAUGAAGAGGUAACAAAGACCGUCCUCUGACCCUUCUUCUGUGCCACACCAUAACCACUCCUCGACUUUGUCUUUCACCUGCCCAGCCAAGUCUUAGCAAAGAAGCCUAUUAAGUCAUCCGCUCAUCCUUGAUGUCUGAUCAACUUCCUCAUCUUCCACUUUUUUUUUUUUUUUUUUUUAAGAUGGAGUUUCGCUCUUGUCGCCCAGGCUGGAGUGCAAUGCUGCGAUCUCGGCUCACUGCAACCUCAGACUCCCGGAUUCAAGCGAUUCUCCUGCCUCAGCCUCCUGGGUAGCUGGGACAACAGGCGCCCGCCACCACGCCCGGCUAAUUUUUGUAUUUUUAGUAGAGAUGGGAUUUCACCAUCUUGGCCAGGCUGGUCUCGAACUCCUGACCUCGUGAUCCACCCUCCCAAAGCGCUGGGAUUACAGGCGUGAGCCACCGCACCCGGCCCUUUUGUUGUUAAUUUUUAAAUUUUGUGGCUAAUUUUUAAAUUUUUGUAGAGAUGGGGUCUGGCUAUGUUGCCCAGGCUGGUCUUGAACUUCUGGCCUCAAGCAAUCAUCCUGCCUUGGCUUUCCAAAGUGCUGGGAUUACAGAUGUGAGCUAAGACACCCAGCUCCAUGGAGUUGGUCUUAACUGCCAUGGCCAAGGGACAUGUGGCUGCUUCUCUCUGAGUCAGAAAAUAUGGGUAAAAAGCCUCCUCACAGGGCAGCUGUGGACAUUCAGUAUGAAAAUGCUGAAAGAGAUCGGGAAUGGUCUCUUUCACACCUGUAAUCCCAGCACUUUGGGAGGUGGAGGCGGGCGGAUCACCUGAGGUCAGGAGUUCAAGACCAGACUGGCCAACAUGGUGAAACCCUGUCUCUACUAAAAAUGCAAAAAUUAGCUGGGCAUGGUGGUGGGCACCUGUAAUCCCAGCUAUUCAGGAGGCUGAGGCAGGAGAAUCGCUUGAACUUGGGAGGCAGAAGUUGCAGUGAGCCGAGAUCACACCAUUGCCCUUCAGCCUGGGCAACAAGAGCUAAACUCUGUCUCAAAAAAAAAAAAAGAAAAAGAAAAAGAAAGAAAA
rnacentral:lncRNA from 10 species